UACGUAGGGUGCAAGCGUUUGUCCGGAAUUAUUGGGCGUAAAGAGCUCGUAGGCGGUCUGUCGCGUCUGCUGUGAAAACUCAGGGCUUAACCCUGAGCUUGCAGUGGGUACGGGCAGACUAGAGUGCGGUAGGGGAGACUGGAAUUCCCAGUGUAGCGGUGAAAUGCGUAGAUAUUGGGAGGAACACCAGUGGCGAAGGCGGCUCACUGGACCGGAACUGACGCUGAGGCGCGAAAGCGUGGGGAGCAAACAGG
rnacentral:rRNA from 1 species